rnacentral:rRNA from 1 species
GCUACCUGCAGUCGAGCGGUAGAGAGAAGCUUGCUUCUCUUGAGAGCGGCGGACGGGUGAGUAAUGCCUAGGAAUCUGCCUGGUAGUGGGGGAUAACGCUCGGAAACGGACGCUAAUACCGCAUACGUCCUACGGGAGAAAGCAGGGGGCCUUCGGGCCUUGCGCUAUCAGAUGAGCCUAGGUCGGAUUAGCUAGUUGGUGAGGUAAUGGCUCACCAAGGCGACGAUCCGUAACUGGUCUGAGAGGAUGAUCAGUCACACUGGAACUGAGACACGGUCCAGACUCCUACGGGAGGCAGCAGUGGGGAAUAUUGGACAAUGGGCGAAAGCCUGAUCCAGCCAUGCCGCGUGUGUGAAGAAGGUCUUCGGAUUGUAAAGCACUUUAAGUUGGGAGGAAGGGCAGUAACCUAAUACGUUAUUGUUUUGACGUUACCGACAGAAUAAGCACCGGCUAACUCUGUGCCAGCAGCCGCGGUAAUACAGAGGGUGCAAGCGUUAAUCGGAAUUACUGGGCGUAAAGCGCGCGUAGGUGGUUUGUUAAGUUGAAUGUGAAAUCCCCGGGCUCAACCUGGGAACUGCAUCCAAAACUGGCAAGCUAGAGUAGGGCAGAGGGUGGUGGAAUUUCCUGUGUAGCGGUGAAAUGCGUAGAUAUAGGAAGGAACACCAGUGGCGAAGGCGACCACCUGGGCUCAUACUGACACUGAGGUGCGAAAGCGUGGGGAGCAAACAGGAUUAGAUACCCUGGUAGUCCACGCCGUAAACGAUGUCAACUAGCCGUUGGAAUCCUUGAGAUUUUAGUGGCGCAGCUAACGCAUUAAGUUGACCGCCUGGGGGAGUACGGCCGCAAGGUU